rnacentral:lncRNA from 1 species
UUCUAUUGAAAGCGGUUCUGAGCUUUGUAUCAUGGUUUCUUGUGCUUUCUGGUAUAUGGACGUAUUUAUGUUUGUACCUUAUCUUUGUUUAACGCAGUGAUGAGAGCAUAUAUAUAAGAUGGGAACACUCAACGGUAUCAAUCCUCAACUUGUCGCUGCCAUUUGUUCCAUGGUCUAUUUGGAUCUGAUGGAGCCGCUUCGUUUGCUCCUGAGGCGCUUAUGGCAUAACUGGAUGGUUUUUUCUGUCUUGCUUGUUUCAGUUCUUGUGCUAUUGUGGCUCUUAAUAUGUGUCAGCCGUCUUUUUUUUUGUCUAGGAUUUCAUUGCAGCUUGCUUAGCAUACACGGAUUUGUUUUCUUCCAUGACGAUGAAGCAGUUGUUCGAUAGAGAGCAUAUUUUGAAAAAUGUUGAUGUUCGUGUUCAGGCCCUAGUAGAAGGAUUAUAUAUUUACGACACAUUCCGUAGUGCAUCUUUUGAAGUUGGUCAGGAACCAAAACUUUUGAUAACAUGCUCUCGCAUCUCUUUAUGAAGGCUCUCGGACCUUUUUUGGGACCAUGUGCCAGCUUCCAUAAAUCAGUGGUUGAUGCUCUAUGUCUGAUAAACAUUGAAUAAUAUAUGAAUUCUGUUGAUAACUGGUGAAAAUUUUCAAGUGAGUUCGCCUUCAGUCUCGAGAACCACAUUAAUGCUAGUACAUUAAGACUUUCCGCGAAGAGUUGACAAUAUCCCGUGUCUUGUUGUCCAGGUGUGCACAUCUCAUGGUUAUGGAGAACGCGGCCAUGUCGAUAUCUGAUUGACAUUGAGGAAGAAGCAAAUUAAAAUCAUUCUUAAUAGUUAAAAUCAUUCAUAAUAGUUAAAAUCUGAGAACCAUUGGAAAUAUUUCAAUAGAGUUCUCGCAAUAAAUUUUAAUAAAAAAUAAGAAAAACAGAAAACUGC